rnacentral:rRNA from 1 species
UACGGAGGGGGGCUAGCGUUGUUCGGAAUUACUGGGCGUAAAGCGCACGUAGGCGGCUUUGUAAGUUAGAGGUGAAAGCCCGGAGCUCAACUCCGGAACUGCCUUUAAGACUGCAUCGCUUGAACGUCGGAGAGGUAAGUGGAAUUCCGAGUGUAGAGGUGAAAUUCGUAGAUAUUCGGAAGAACACCAGUGGCGAAGGCGACUUACUGGACGACUGUUGACGCUGAGGUGCGAAAGCGUGGGGAGCAAACAGG